rnacentral:tRNA from 1 species
GCCUUUGUAGCUCAGUCGGCAGAGCACACCCUUGGUAAGGGUGAGGUCACGGGUUCAAAUCCCGUCAAAGGCU